GGAUCAUUAAAAGUAUAUAGUUAUACAUUCUCUGUAUCGACUGAAUAUACCCAUUCUGAGUACCUUGCCUGUUGCUUCCAUGGAGCAUGACAAAUGUCACUCUGGGGAUUUACAUCCCGAGGGAGCCUCAGUGGAAGGUAAUCAAUUAACCCUUGAAUCCAAUGUCAUCUGUCUGAUAAUGUUUAUAACAAAUGUUAAAACUUUCAACAACGGAUCUCUUGGUUCUCGCAUCGAUGAAGAACGCAGCGAAAUGCGAUAAGUAGUGUGAAUUGCAGAAUUCAGUGAAUCAUCGAAUCUUUGAACGCACAUUGCGCCUCCUGGUAUUCCGGGAGGCAUGCCUGUUCGAGCGUCAUUAAAUACCACUCAAGCUCUUCUGCUUGGUCAUGGAAGAAGAGUAUGCUUGCAUCCUCUCUUCUGAAAUUGAAUGGCGGACCGCCUCAUGUGCCUCGCGUAGUAAGUUCAUCUUUUCGCUUGGAGUGUGAGACAGUCUCGCCAUCAACCCCCAUACUUCUAAGGUUGACCUCGGAUCAGG
rnacentral:rRNA from 1 species